UCUAAAAUAUCCGUCAAAAAAAGAAGAAAAAUCAGUGGAAACUGUCCCAAGAUAUUCAAAAGUGCGAAAGGGGGUCGUAUUGUAGUUUUAAAAAACGGAGCUGGUGUUGUUUUUAUUUUUGCAAAAAGAGUUUGUGUCCAUGCACACUACUAGCGUGAGACCUCGAAGAUGAUUGAAACUCUGUGAGCAAAAAAUUGAUGUUAGACAAAAUGCAUAUCGCCAAUGUGGUCAGUUGGAAGAAACUGUUCAACAUCUUGUCGAAGACGAGUGUCGAUUUAGGUACGAAUUUUCAAGUAGACUUCACCAAAAUUCAUGAAUUGUCUGUGACCAGAAGCUGAAACUUGGUCCACUAUCAAAGUUCUGUAAUUUCAUCUAUGUACGAGUAUAACUGUCUUUUUUUUCUGCCCUAUUAAUAUACUAUAAUAUGCUUUAGAA